rnacentral:lncRNA from 1 species
CUUGAACCCAGGAGGUGGAGGUUGCAGUGAGCCAAUAUCACGCCACUGCACUCCAGCCUGGGUGACAGGGCGAGACUUUGUCUCAAAAAAAAUAAAAAUAAAUUAAAAAAAAAUUGUAAAAACAUUCCAACAAAAUUUUUGCAUUUAAUCUGAACACACACACACACACAUGCACACACACACACACACAGAUAUUGUAGGUUUAGUUUCCAGAUCACCACAAUAAAUUGAAUAUUGCAAUAAAGUGAGGCACAUGAAUUUUUUUAUUUCCCAUUGCAUAUAAAAGUUAUGCUUGCACUACACUGCAGCCUAUUAAGUGUGCAAUAGCAUUAUGUCUAAAAAUAAUGCAUACAUUGUUUACAAAUAUCUUAUUGCUAAAAAAUGCUAACAAUCAUCUGAGCCUUCAGUGAGUCAUAGUCAUUUUGCUGGUGGAGGGUCUUGCCUCAAUACUGAUGGCUGCUGACUGAUCAGGGUGGUGGUUGCUGAAGGUUGGAAUGGUGGUGACAACUUCUUAAAAUAAGACAGUAAUAAAGUUUGCCACCCUCAUUGACUCUUUCUUCACAGAAAAUUUCUAUGUUAUUUGCAAUGCUGUUUGAUAGCAUUUUACCCACAGUAGAACUUCUCACAAAACUGGAGUCAAUCCUCUCAAAUCCAGCUACUGCUUUUUCAACUGAGUUUAUAUAAUAUUUUGAGUCCUUUGCUGUCAUCUCAACAGUGUUCACAGCAUCUUUGCCAGGAGUAGAUUCCAUUUCAAGAAACCACUUUCUUUGUUCAUUUACAAGAAGUAACUCCUCAUCCUUCAAAUUUGAUCAUGAGAUUAAAACAAUUCAGUCUCAUCUUCCGGCUCCAUUUCUCAUUCUGGUUCUCUUGUUAUUUCUUUCACAUCUGCAGUUACUUCCUCCACUGAAGUCUUGAACCCCUAAAAGGCAUCCAUGAGUACUGGAAUUAACUUCAUCUAAACUUCUGUUAAUGUUGAUAUUUUGAUAUUCUCCACGAAUCAUGAAUUUCUUUUUAAUAAACAAAUCUCUAUGCUACUAGGUACAAUAGCAUGGAAAUUGAGAGAACACCAAAGCGAGAAGAAAACUGGGAUAAAACUUAUGCAUCUGAAGAGAAGAAACAGGAAAGCACGCCUCAUUGACAUGGGGAAAAAAGCAGCAAGCAGAAACUAUCUGUGAGGGAUCUCAGAUGUUGGACUUAGUACACAAAGAGUUCAAAGCAUCCAUUAUAAAUAUAUAGAACUAAAGCAAAGUGUAUUUUUAACAAUUAAAAGUAAGUAUAAUGACAAUUACUUAUUAAAUAGAGAACAUUAGUGUAAACAUAGAAAGUAUAAUUACUAUUACAUAUGUGUACAUAUAUGAACACAUAUAUGAAUCCAAUGGAAAUUCAGUACAAUCAUUUAAAUGAAAAAGACACUAGAGGAGCUCAACAGCAGAUAUGAACCAUCAAAAAACAACAACAAAAACACACUGAACUUGAAGCUAGAUGAAUAGAGACUGUCGAGUCUGAAGAACAGAAAGAAAAUUUAAGAAAAUAAGCAGAGCUUUAGAGAUCUGUUGGAACAAUUAACAUAUUGAUAAAUACACAGUGGGAAUCUUAGAAAGAGAAGAAAGGAGGCCGGGCGCGGUGGCUCACGCCUGUUAUCCCAACACUUUGGGAGGCCGAGGCGGGCGGAUCACGAGGUCAGGAGAUCGAGACCAUCCUGGUUAACACGGUGAAGCCCCGUCUCUACUAAAAAUACAAAAAAUUAGCUGGGUGUGGCGGCGGGCACCUGCAGUCCCAGCUACUCAGGAGGCUGAGGCAGGAGAAUGGCGUGAACCCGGGAGGCAGAGCUUUCAGUGAGCCAAGAUCACGCCACUGCACUCCAGCCUGGGCGACACAGCGAGACUCCGUCUCAAAAAAAAAAAAAAAGCAAAAAAAAAAAAAGAGAAGAAAGGAGAAAGAAGGAAGGAAAGACAGACAGAGAAAUAAAACAAAUAGUUUUUUUAAAAGCUAAAACACUUCCUAAAUGUGAAGAAAAGCAUUAAUCUACACUUGUAAAAAGCUCAAGAGACUCCAAGUAGAAUAAUAGUCAGAGUCAAACAUUUCAAAUCUAAAGAUUAAGAAACAAUUCGGAAAGCACAAGAACAAGGCAACUGAAUAUGUACAAGAGAAUCAUAAUAAGAUUAAUAGGUGACUUCUCUUGAGAAACAAUGAGGAAAAUAGAAUGACAUAUUGAAGAGAAUGACCUAUUAAAAGAGCUGACAGGAAAAAACUGUCAAUCAAGAUUAUUGUAUUCAAUAAAACUAUCCUUUGAUGAUGAAUAGAAAUAAAGUUAUUUCCAGGUAAACAAAGAGUGCAUUGCUAACAGAUCUGUCUUAUAAGAAAUGCUAAAGAAAGACCUUCAAGUCAAAGGAAAUACAAGAGGGUAACUUGAGUCCACACAAAGAAUUACAUUUCACAGAUAAAGGUAAUUACCUAAGUAUAUUAUCUAUCUCUCUCUCUCUAUAUGUGUGUGUGUGUUUCCAAACUGAUUUUUUAAAAAUUACAUAAAACAAUAUUCAUAAACAUUGCUGUGAUGCACUUAAAACAUAUAUGUCAAUAAUACCACAAAGGUAGAGGGAGGAAAUGGAGCUAUAUAGAAGCAAAUUUUCAUAUUAUCAUGGAAUUAAGUUAUUAUUAAUCUGAAUUAGAUUAUAAUGAAUUAAGAUCUCUUGAGGAAACAUGAAGUAACUAAAAAAUGUAGUUUAAAGAAACCAACAAAGGAAUUAAAAUGAUAUGCGAGAAAAUAACACAAAAGAGAGGAGGAACAGAGAAACAAAAGAGACAUGGGAUAUAUAGAAAACAAAUAGAAAAAUGGUUGCAGUCAGUCAAACCAUAUCAAUAAUCACAUUAAAUGUAAAUAGAUUUUACGCUUAAUGGUGAAUGCUAUCUCCUUAAGAUCAGGAACAAGGCAAAGAUGAUCUCUGUCACCACACCUAUUCAAAAUAAUACUGGAAGUCCUAGCCAAUAUAAUAAGGCACAUAGCCAAUGAAAUAAGUCAAAUAAAAGUAAAAUUAAAGAAAGGGAAAAUAAAAGAAAUGAGCACACAAAUUGGAAAGGAAGCAAUAAAACCUUCUUUAUUUGCAAAUUACAUGAUUAUCUCUCUUGGAAACCAUAAAGAAUCUACACACAGACAAACAAACCAAGUUAAACUCCUAGAACUAACACGUGAGUAGCAAGGUCACAGGAUACAGAGUUAAAAUACAAAAGUCAAUUAUGUUCCUACAUACCAACAAGAAAAAACAACACAUCUUAAACUUUCACCAAAAUAUAAUGAAGCAUUUGUGUAUAAAUAUAACAAAAUGUGUGUAGGAUCUGUGUGCUCAAAAGUAUAAAACAUUGAAGGAAGAAUUCAAAGAUGAUCUAAACAAAUGAAGAGAGAUUUUGUGUUUAUGGAUUAGAAGGCUCCAUAUUAUGAAGAUGUCAGUUUUCCACAAUCUGACCUGUAAACUUUUUUGAUCAAAAUCCCAGCAAAAUAUUUGGAGAGAAUGUGGUUCUAAGAUUUAUACAGAAAGGCAAAGAAGUUAGAAGAGCUGAAAUCAUUCUGAGAAAGAUGAAUAAACUUAGAGGAGUUAAAUUAUCCAAUUUCAAAAUUGACCAUAAAUCUACAGUAAUCAAGACAGUGUAAUAUUAGCAAAAUAAGUACAUAGAUGAAUGGAAAAGAAUGGUGGUGGGUCCAAACAUACACACACACACACACACACACACACACAUACAUUUUCAGCUUAUUAACAGAGGCAAAGACAAUUCAAUGAAGAAAUAAUGGUCUUUCAAACAAACGGUGCUAGAACCAUUAGAUAUCCACAUGCAAAAAUAUAGACCUUGAUACAUACCUUACAUCUUAUACAAAAAUUCACCCAAAAUGGAUCGUAGACCUAAAUGCCAAACAUAAAACUGUAAACUUGGAGGAAAAAAAGCAUAAGAAAAAUUGCGUAACUUUGAGUUUGACAAUGAGUUUUUCAAUAUGAUAAAAGCUCUACCCACAAAAGAAAAUAUUACUAAAUUGCACUUAAACAAGAUUUUUGCUUUUUGAAAGACAUUGUUAAGAGAUAAAAAAAACAAGUUAGCUGGGUGCAGAGGCUCCUGUAAUCCCAGCAUUUUGGGAGGCCCAGGCAGGCAUAUCACUUGAGCCCAGGAGUUCAAGACCAGCUGGGGCAGCAUGGUAAAACCCCAUUUCUACAAAAAAAUACAAAAAUUAUCCGGGCAUGAUGGCACAUGCCUGUAGCCCCAGCUACUCGGGAAGCAGAGAUGGGGGGAUCACUUGAGCCCAGGAGGUUGGGGCUGUAGUGAACCAUGAACCCUCCACUGCACUCCAGCAUGGAUGACAAAGUGAGACUGUCUCAGAAAGAGACAAAAACAAAAUCAAAACCAAGCUACAGAUUAGAAGAAAACACUUGCAAAAAACAUGUCUAUAAAAAAGAACCUGUGCCCAGAAUAUAUGAAAAACUCUUAAAAAUUCAGUAAUUGCUAAACAAAUUAGAAAUGUGUCAACAGUCUGAAUAAACACUUAACAACAUAUGGAUAAGCAAAUGAAUAGAUGCUCAACAUCAUUUGUCAUUAGGGUAACACAAAACUACAAUGAAAUAUCACUACACACC